rnacentral:rRNA from 1 species
ACGCUGGCGGCAGGCCUAACACAUGCAAGUCGAGCGGUAGAGAGAAGCUUGCUUCUCUUGAGAGCGGCGGACGGGUGAGUAAUGCCUAGGAAUCUGCCUGGUAGUGGGGGAUAACGUUCGGAAACGGACGCUAAUACCGCAUACGUCCUACGGGAGAAAGCAGGGGACCUUCGGGCCUUGCGCUAUCAGAUGAGCCUAGGUCGGAUUAGCUAGUUGGUGGGGUAAUGGCUCACCAAGGCGACGAUCCGUAACUGGUCUGAGAGGAUGAUCAGUCACACUGGAACUGAGACACGGUCCAGACUCCUACGGGAGGCAGCAGUGGGGAAUAUUGGACAAUGGGCGAAAGCCUGAUCCAGCCAUGCCGCGUGUGUGAAGAAGGUCUUCGGAUUGUAAAGCACUUUAAGUUGGGAGGAAGGGCAGUAAAUUAAUACUUUGCUGUUUUGACGUUACCGACAGAAUAAGCACCGGCUAACUCUGUGCCAGCAGCCGCGGUAAUACAGAGCGUGCAAGCGUUAAUCGGAAUUACUGGGCGUAAAGCGCGCGUAGGUGGUUCGUUAGGUUGGAUGUGAAAUCCCCGGGCUCAACCUGGGAACUGCAUUCAAAACUGUCGAGCUAGAGUAUGGUAGAGGGUGGUGGAAUUUCCUGUGUAGCGGUGAAAUGCGUAGAUAUAGGAAGGAACACCAGUGGCGAAGGCGACCACCUGGACUGAUACUGACACUGAGGUGCGAAAGCGUGGGGAGCAAAC